CCGCCAGUGUCUUCCAUGAGCGCCGUCAGCUCGUCACUCCGCAUUCUCUCCGCCGCGCCUGCGUUCCGAUGGAGAAAAGGGUACACAGAUACAUGCCCUUCUCACACUGCAGAACUGCCCAAGGAGAGUCUGGAGCAAGAGCAUGCAGCGUGGCGUCCUCCUGUCCUACAUGGGAGUGGCCACCGUGGGGUUGUUUUGUGCUGUGACAUAGAAUGGCCAACCUGGUUUGCCUGGGACCAGGGAAUUUCCUGGAUGCAGGACUUUCCAAAAAGGGGACCCGAGUGAUGACAAAUGAUUUUGUGCCUGGGCCUGGAAAACAACAUUUCAAAUUCGAAGCUUGGGAUCCUGCAGGAUUUGGUGUCUGUCUCUAUCUUACCACCCGCCUGCCCCUCCCUUGAACCUCUGUACUGACCAUCAAAUUGGGCAAAAGGCAUCAUGCUCCUACUGGGCAGGGCUGCCCGAGAAGUCAGAGCUCAAGGCGUCCAGUGGCCCACUCCCUUCUGGUGACAGGCUGUUCCCUCCUGGCAUGGGCGCUGGCGGGAGGCCAGGGAGCAGUGGGGCCGCGAGGCAGCCUUGGCUCAGAGCCCUGGCUGCUGUCUGGGCAUGAAACUGGGCUCUGGCACCAGGAGCGUGGUUCUAGCUCUCUGACCCAGAACUGCCUGUGCAGCGACCACCCCACCUCUCAGGCCCUGUCCUGGGGCCCAGUCCUUCUGCCCCUCAGGCAGGGCAGGUUGGGGAGCAGAGAUGGAUCUGGAAGGAAUGGCAGAAGCCAGUAGAGGAUGCCGAGGCAAAAGCAAGGAAUGUCUCCACGCAGAGAGACAGCCUCUGGGGGUGUGUCUGAGAAAGAGGAGAGAAUGGAUGUGUGUCUAGCGAGUGGACAGAGCAAGCUUUCCUCCGCUUCCUUGCUCUGCGGUGGACUGGGGCCCUCAGCCCUACCAAUGGCAUCCCUCCAUGACCCCCCAGGGCCUCAAAUCCAGACGCAGUGUCUCUAAUGGGGGGCCCUCUCCCUGCCCUGAAGUGAGAGCUCUACCUGGGUCCCCGCAAACCGGUCUUUUUCAGUAGGCCUCCUGCCGCCAGCUUUUCAACCGUGUUUUUCAGCCUCUGACCCCAGAGUAAUCUCAACUUCCUUGUACUCAGUUCAGAAGAUGUUUGCUAUUCAGGAUUCUGAUGCAGAGGUCUGAUAAGAGAGGCCUCGGGCCUUCGGAGUUCCUAAACCAGCAGAGUCCAAGGAUUUGAAAGCUGAGAAGUGUAAGGACAGCCACACCCUGAGAGGUGGCCCAGCGCCAGCUCCUGUCACCUGAAAUCUUCCAGGAUAUUGAGAAAUGGGUGUUAGUGGGACUUCACUACAUUUACUUUGGAUGUCUUGUUUGUCUUGUUUUUGGAACGAGAGUUUCCCAUAGCGCUGACAAAAUCCGAUCUGUGUUUUAUUGCAUCUACUCUAGCUCCUAUGCUUGGCUUGGUUUUGCUUUCUACCUCUGUGUCAAUUUUCUGCCACAGAGUAAGCUGUUGUGUAGAAAUCCAGUGUAGGAAAACAGAGAACACCUUCCAAGCUGCCGUGGAAUCUCACCCCUAACUGGCCUAUCGGUGUGAGAGGCGCUUGGGGAGGAAAGGGCUGUCUUCGUGGGCGGCAGCUGGGGCCAGACCUUCACAAUUCCAUUUGCAACAGAGCCCACCGUACACCAAUGCUGAAAGCCCGUGUCUGUUUUAUCAGCCCAUCUCACAUGCUUCCCCUUCCCAUGGGUGACUACAUCAAGUGCUGAGGUGGAGGUGAGGUCCAAGGGCAAAGGAGGUGUGAAUUAGGCAUGGGCCAUUUUCAUCAGCCAAAAAGUACAGCAGUAACACAAGGCUGCAGGAAAUACAAGUUUGGUGGUACAGUAACACUAAGUGGACUCCACUAACUAGACACGCUCUUGGUUUUAUACUGGGGUGCUGGUGUCACCUAGUCCCUUUCCCAAGGCUCAGUGGAAGGUUGUUUGGGACAAGUGCGUGAAAGUUGUUGCCAGAUAGUCCCAGGGUGCAAAUGCUUCCUUCUUAGCUCGGUGAUCUUGGAAGUUUUCUAGGCCUCAGUUCCCACAUCUAUAAAAGGGAGAAACUAAGCCUGUCACAUAGAAUUAAUGUGGGGUUGAAUGAGAUUAGGAAAAUGAACAUCGAACCCAUAGUAGGGACUCUCUCCAUGGACUGGAGAUCAGAGAACUGCACAGAAGGUCUGCUUUUAAGUCUUAGCCCAGCCAGGUGGUUCCAGUUCUCUGUUUGCUUUGUGACAGAUGCAAAGGUUGAGAAUCCAUAUGCUGACUGAACAGCAUACUGACUUGUACUGAUGGUGCUGAUUAAUAUUGGGGUGAAGAGAAAAGUGAGCCCCUUGACUCAGCGACACAGUGUGGAGAGAAGAAUUAUCUUAGUGAACAAAUGUUGGAAGAGCAGAGCUGAGGAACACAGAAACAUGGCUGGCAUGAUCCUUGCCAUGCUGUCCAAUGUAGAGCUGGGUCAGGUGGGGCUGCGUCUGCCUGGAUUGUCUCUGCCUUAAGUCUGCCUUGAAGGUUCAAGUGAACUUGAUUUAGUCUUGGGGUUCAGGAAGGGAACAUUGAGGUUUGUUAUAGAGUGUCCCUAGCACACUUUACCCAGGACAAGACCGUAGCCCCCUUUCCUGACCCCCAUCGCCCAUCAUGGCCCCCAGCUGCCAGCUACCCACAAUCCUCAGGGUGUUCCUGUGUAAGGUGAAGACUCAACUAGGAAAAGCAUUGAGUGACACUCUUGUCAAGAGGGAUCUUAUAGGGCUGUCCCAUUGGCCAGUGAGAGAAAAAUAUGUAUAUUAAAAUUUUUUUCUGAGGAAAUUAAAAUCCAAAUAUUUGUCUAACCAAGCUUAGGUGGAAAGUGAAUCUUGAUUCCAUAUUAUACACAUUAGGCCUGGAAGAGAAGAAUGAGUGGUCGGGUUAACAGGGACUGAGGCUUCUGUGCAGGCUGAAGAGUAGUUCUGAGGAAAAAGCUCGAGUGGUCAGAAUCCAUUGAGAAUCUGAAAAUAUAGCUGAGAUUCUGCUCUCCUCCUUCACUAAAUUAUUUACCCAGGUUACUGAUAAUCAAUUAAUUGCCUGAAUCGCCAUCCCCCCACCCCAUUUAUACAUGUGAUUUCUUAGCAAUGGGCAGGGGAGGAAGUCUGAGACACAGGGAGUCAUAAUGGUCUUUACUCUAGAUGGUAAAUAAAUGAGACUUGGCUGUCUUUCA
ensembl:lncRNA